GCUUAACACAUGCAAGUCGAACGAUGAAGCUGAAGCUUUUGUUUUGGUGGAUAGUGGCGAACGGGUGAGUAAUACGUGAGUAACCUGCCCUUGUCUUUGGGAUAAGCCUGGGAAACUGGGUCUAAUACCGGAUAUUCUGCUUCUGCCGCAUGGUGGGGGUUGGAAAGAUUUUUGGAUGGGGAUGGGCUCACGGCCUAUCAGCUUGUUGGUGGGGUGAUGGCCUACCAAGGCGUCGACGGGUAGCCGGCCUGAGAGGGUGACCGGCCACAUUGGGACUGAGAUACGGCCCAGACUCCUACGGGAGGCAGCAGUGGGGAAUAUUGCACAAUGGACGCAAGUCUGAUGCAGCGACGCCGCGUGGGGGAUGAAGGC
rnacentral:rRNA from 1 species